CAUUUUGCUCAUGACCUUCUCUCUCUAUCAAACCGGUUACUCUCUCCUCUCUCUAAAAUCAAAACCCUCACUUCUCUCUCUACUCAAAAACAACACCGCCCCCUUAUAUCAUCUUCUCCGGCGAGAUAGUGUUUUCCAGCGCGGUGGCCGGUGGUGGCACCACCGCGCCGGAGUUCAAACUUACUCCGAUUCAAAAAUUUCUUGUAGUUCUAAACAUCCUUAUGCAUGCUGGUUUCAAUUCUUAAAAUAAAUUUUCAAAACAAAACACGGAUUUACAUAGAUCUACAAAACAAAAUUCGAAAAAAGGAUGAACAAAACUCUUACCCUUUGUUACUUUUCGUACCGGUUCGGCUUACCUCUUCCUCUACGGUUCAGAUCCGGUUUGGCUCGGUAUGUAUUCCGGUUCGAUUCUGUUGUCACUUUCUUCUCCCUUCGCGAUCCGAUUCAAGCUCUAUUCCUUGUUGCUGCUCAGUUCCGAAAAGAAGGUUUGAUUUUAUAGCAUUAGGGUUGAAGAGAAUAAGGAAGUAACUUGCAGAGAUUAUUACUGAGCUGCUGGAUUUGGCAACAAAAACUUGACCCUAUGAACUUGCCUAAACAUGCGGCGUACGAAAAAAGAAAUUUGGACCACUGCCGAAAACCUUCGGACUUAUUGACAACAUUGUACAGAAAAAACAGAAAAUAAACAUUAUUAAAUAUUUAAAUAUUAAAAAGUAACUAAUAUUAAAAUUAAAAUUAAUAAAGGAUGCAAACUAGACAAUGAAAUAAAAAAAAGAAAAUAAUGGGAAAGAGAAGGGUCUGACUCAGAAUAAAAAAUGAGGUACUUCAAAGUAACAUCUUUGUCGAAAUUUUGUCUGAAACGACGAAAAUUCCCGACUUCAAAAACACGAAUAAAAUGGGUAAGAAUAGAGAAAAGUGGUCAAAAUUUGGGGUAUGACAGAUGCCCCUAUUUAAGUUUCUCUGUCACGGAGAUUUAAAAGAAAAUUCUUUAAAUCAACGGGUCGAAGAGACUUAAAUACCAAGUACACCAAUUUUGACCAGUUCAAAUGCUAAGAAUGUCAUGCUUAUGAAUAUACUGGUAUGAAUGUCUGCGAUGCAAGUAUGAAUGCAAGGACGACAAAAA